rnacentral:rRNA from 1 species
CCUAACACAUGCAAGUCGGAUGUGCCGCAAGGUGCAUGGCAGACGGGUGAGUAACGCGUGGGGAACCUACCUUUUCGUGGGGAAUAACAUUCCGAAAGGAAUGGUAAUACCGCAUAAGACCGACGGCUGGGAUGUUGUCGGUGAAAGCUGGGGAUCAGCAAUGACCUAGCGCGAGGAGAGGGUCCUGCGUCUGAUUAGCUAGUUGGUGGGGUAACGGCCUACCAAGGCAACGAUCAGUAGCCGGCCUGAGAGGGUGAUCGGCCACACUGGAACUGAGACACGGUCCAGACUCCUACGGGAGGCAGCAGUGGGGAAUUUUGCGCAAUGGACGAAAGUCUGACGCAGCAACGCCGCGUGGGUGAUGAAGGUCUUCGGAUUGUAAAACCCUGUCGUCGGGGACGAAGGUAGGGGGGUUAAUACCCCUUUUGCUUGACGGUACCCGGAGAGGAAGCCCCGGCUAACUCUGUGCCAGCAGCCGCGGUAAUACAGAGGGGGCAAGC